AAAUUGAAGAGUUUGAUCAUGGCUCAGAUUGAAUGCUGGCGGCAGGCCUAACACAUGCAAGUCGAACGGUAACAGGAAACAGCUUGCUG
rnacentral:rRNA from 1 species